rnacentral:rRNA from 1 species
GACGUAGGGCGCGAGCGUUGUCCGGAUUUAUUGGGCGUAAAGAGCUCGUAGGCGGUGUGUCGCGUCGGCCGUGAAAACCUGCAGCUUAACUGUGGGCUUGCGGUCGAUACGGGCAUCACUGGAGUUCGGCAGGGGAGACUGGAAUUCCUGGUGUAGCGGUGAAAUGCGCAGAUAUCAGGAGGAACACCGGUGGGCGAAGGCGGGUCUCCUGGGCAA